rnacentral:ncRNA from 1 species
AAAAGUAUUUCAGAGUCAGGCCGGGGCGCUUGCGCUCCGUUAACACGGUCGUACAUCCAGCCGGUUGCCUGACUCCUUGCAUUGAAGCGAUGUACGGAGUUUAUAGAGC